rnacentral:rRNA from 1 species
ACGCACGCUGGCGGCGUGCUUAACCCAUGCAAGUCGCACGGAAAGGCCCUGCUUUUGUGGGGUGCUCGAGUGGCGAACGGGGGAGUAACACGUGAGUAACCUGCCCUUGACUUUGGGAUAACUUCAGGAAACUGGGGCUAAUACCGGGUAGGAGCUCCUGCUGCAUGGUGGGGGUUGGAAAGUUUCGGCGGUUGGGGAUGGACUCGCGGCUUAUCAGCUUGUUGGUGGGGUAGUGGCUUACCAAGGCUUUGACGGGUAGCCGGCCUGAGAGGGUGACCGGCCACAUUGGGACUGAGAUACGGCCCAGACUCCUACGGGAGGCAGCAGUGGGGAAUAUUGCACAAUGGGCGGAAGCCUGAUGCAGCAACGCCGCGUGCGGGAUGACGGCCUUCGGGUUGUAAACCGCUUUCGCCUGUGACGAAGCGUGAGUGACGGUAAUGGGUAAAGAAGCACCGGCUAACUACGUG